rnacentral:rRNA from 1 species
AGUGGCGGACGGGUGAGUAACGCGUGGGAAUAUACCUUUUGGUGGGGGACAACAGUUGGAAACGACUGCUAAUACCGCAUACGCCCUUCGGGGGAAAGAUUUAUCGCCAAGAGAUUAGCCCGCGUAAGAUUAGAUAGUUGGUGAGGUAACGGCUCACCAAGUCUACGAUCUUUAGCUGGUCUGAGAGGAUGAUCAGCCACACUGGAACUGAGACACGGUCCAGACUCC